rnacentral:lncRNA from 1 species
AUAGACAAGGCACUAAAAGCAAAAGGAAAUUAGUUUAAAAUAUAGUGUGAGAUAUAUACAUAAAAUAGGAUUCAUAAGGGUGUGAAGAACAUCUUUUCCUGAACAUCUGUUAAAACUAUAUAUAUCCUCUUUGGAUGCCUUAGAAAUUCUUCAUCUCCCGGAAGGCAAGACCAGAUAAUUUUCUGUGGUUUAGUAUAAAUUGAAUAUUUAAGUGUUUUUCACACUUCUGAUAACCUUUACUAAAAGUGUUCAAAGAUAUCUUGGGUAUAUCAGGAAAGGCUUUUUUGAAGGAUGUGCAUCUUGACCUGGGUGGUGAAAGAAUCAUGUUGGAAGGGUUCUUCAUAUAUAAAUGGCAGGAAUAAAGAUAGAGGGUGGAAUUAGGUAAGUUUGGGUAGAAAGUAUCAGUAACUUGUAGGAAGAGCUAGAAGCAGUAACAGAAGAGGUUAUAGAGGCUUGGGGCAGCUAGUUCAUGGAGGGCCUUGGAUGGUAGACUUAUUAGAAUUCAAAAUUGGAACCUAUUGUUCUCCAACAGGAAAGUAGCAGAGGAGAACUGAUUAGAUUAACUGCAUGCAUUUGCUAGUUUUGUAGUUAAAAAAUAGUCAAAUAUCGGCAGUUACAAGAAGUUCACUAAUAGUUUAUGUAUUCGUAAAGCUGUUCAAAGCUUUUCUGUGAAGCAUUAAGCCGUUCCUGGAUCUUUUCCCUCCAUUUUUCUCUCUCUUUAUCCUGUAUUCUCCCCCAAAGUAUAGGUACUUCACCCUUCACGUUUGGGCGCACAUUCAGAAUAGGUCACUUCCUGUCUCAGGCAAAGUGAAAACCAAAGGUAGCUAAUUGAAAUGACUAAACUAUUUCAGACAAUUAAAAUGUUUUCUGAGUUACUCUUUGCACAAAAUAUCUGAUGCAUGGUCCUCGGAAAAUAUUAAAGACAUCUGCAACCCAUCUCUUUAAAUCUAGCUUGAUAGGAUCAAUCAUUGCCUAAGCUGAUUUUCCUGAUGAUACAAAGCUCUUGGGAAUUAAAAUCCAAUGGAGGAGGGGAAGGGUAACUGACUUGAAAUUACAUGUUGAGAUUCUGUUUUUCAAAUUCCGUUUUACAUUCCUAGAAUUUAUAAACCAACUUUGAAGUCAGUGAUUGGGGAUACUGAGAAUUUUCUUUUAAAAAUUACUUCAUUGUAAAUAUUCAAAGUCACCUAGUGUUUACUGUGAAAACAUGCUUAAAGAAGGAACAGUUUCUUUCUGAUCAAUUCUUCAUUUUGCAACUUGGCUUAAAAUUAUUUUAUUUUGGGAUGAGAGCAGUGAAUUCAGGAUAGUGUAAUCAUUCUUAUUAUUCUGAUUGCUUAUUUUUUAAAGUGGAUCAUACUAUAUAUACUGGCUUUGGUAAUCUUUUGUAAAAGAAGUCUAGUUAACAUCUGUCACUGUACUCUAACAUAUAUCAUGUAUGUUUUUCUAUAGCAAUAUUUUAAUGACCAUGUAAAUAUUUCAUUAAUAUACUAUAGUUUAAGCAGAUAUCAAUGAUAUACAUUUAAUUUGCUUCUAAUUUCUUGUUAUUCUUAACAUUGCUGUAAGAUUCUUUAUGUACAUAUAUGAUUACUUAAAACAGGUUCCUAGAAAGUUGAAUUGCUGGGUCAAGGGAUACUUAUUUUUUAAGGCAAAUUGCCCUGCAGAAAGCUUUACCGAUUUAUAUUCCCACCAACAGUGUAUGUAAUUGCCUUUUUUGUAAACUUUGGGCAAUAUUGUAAAUUGCCUUUUUAAAAGAUAAUUGCUAGCUUAGUAAGUGAAAAUAAAGGUGUUUCAUGCUUAUUUUAAUUUGCUUAUUAGUAAGUGGAACAUUUUAUAUUGUCUAGCCUUUUGCAUUUCCUUUGUUAGAUUGCUUUAAAGUUUUUGUUUGUUGGAAAAAAUAUCUAAGCCAUAUAUUUGUUCCUGAUUAGUUUUUGAAUUUGUAAUUUACUACUAAACAUGUAAGAUACGGUGAGAUAGCAUCUCUAGAGAUAAAUGGUUUUCUCAUCAUCGGCCUGUAGGGGUCUCUCUAAACCAAAUUUUUGGGAAUCAGACCGAUUUUGAGAAACUCUUAAAAUUGUCUGUGAUACAGGGGCAGUCCCGGCGAGUCCAAGUGGAAGUGAAGUCUGUGCAGGAGUCUGGGACUUUACCGCUGAUGGAAGAAUGUAUAUUGUCUGUUGGCAUUGGAUGUGUAAAAGUCAGGGCGCCGAGAUUGGCCAAGACGCAUGAAACCAUCCAUGUAAGUCUCUGUUGACAGACUCAGCCAGAUAAGAGAGUCUUUUGGAACCUGUCAGAAAACUGCCUUCCACAAACAAUUCUUUCAGUAUUUUAUUUUCUUGGAUAUCUUUUUUUCUUUUCUUUUCUUUCUUUCUUUCUUUUUUUUUUUUUUUUAACUGUAUUGCAUUUGCGUGGAACCACUGCACCAGCUUGUUGGUUUUCCCUGGUACACGGCAAACUGAGGGUUAAAACAUCUCAGCCUCCAGGAGUUCCUCAGUGCCUGAUUUCCGCCCCCCCACCCCUCUGCAGAAACCCCCUGCUGGCUCAUAAAGACUAUUUGCCAGCAGGUGUUUGAUUUCCCUUGGGGAGUGGGACUAUAAACCCAGCAGGGGGAGAGUAUUGUACUAGCUCCCUGAAAAGGUCAAAUGAGGUUCUUCACUUUCCUAUGAGAAGCUCAAGGUUUCACUCCAACUACCUGAAAACUGUAAAACCCAGAGUGAGGGUGAGCGUGGGUGGGAGAUGAAAAAGCGUAUUCGUUAAAAUAGAAAAUAUAAAGUAUGGGAAAAGAUUCAAACUUGUUUAGCGUAGUCUGAUUCUUGGAUAAAUGAUUGUUUUGGCUCUGCAUAAUAUAUUUUUUCUCUUAGGAUGAAGAGGAGGACAUGGACAGUUACCAGGUAAUGAAGCACCGGUUAUCCUAGUCAAAUAAGCUCGAUUAAAGUACUAAAUUACACAUUCCUGAGUCUUGCCAUACUGUUACUUAGUAACUACACAAUUAGUUUUGAUUCAGAUAUUGCUUUGUCUCAAGUUAAAACAGAAGGGAACAAUCAUCUGUGACUGUUAUCCUUUUCUAAACCUGGAGCUGCCCAUCCAGGCCCCUGCAGAUCCAUUCUUCAGGUUCUCUUCCUUGCACUUGUUCUCUCCUUUUUCCCUGGAAGAGCUGUUGCAGACUUGGCUUCAGUCAAGCCACGCCCCUUAGGUAUUUUCCAUACUUUAAGCCAGGUCUCCUUUCCCUACUUCCUGGAGUCAUACAGGUUUUGUUUUGUUUUUCCCCCCCACCCUCCUUUCCCUAAUCUCCUGCAAGAUUUUGUUUACGUCUUAUAAAUUUUAUUUUGUGAGUCUGGUUAGUCAUCGUUUAGCACCGUCAGAGCUCUUCGGAUCCUGAUUAUGUCAGCCAGUGCAGUCACCCUCCUGGUUUGGCUUCAUUCUAAUUGGAUAAAAAUGUCUGCUUUCCUAUAAGUUGCUGAUAAAAGUAUUGAGGGUUAAAUACAGAGUCCUGUGGCACAACCGUAGGGAAUUGUUUUAAGCUGACGUUAUUCCAUUAAUCACUAUUCUUUGGAUGUGAUAUUUCAGUCUUCUAUAAUUUCUUCCAAGUAGAUCCAUUGUACAUUUCUCCUUCUUGUCCACAAGAAUGUCAUGAGCUAUUUGGUUAAGUGCCUUAGUGAAAUCCAGAUACUCCCAAUAUGCUCAGCAUUCCACUGAUCUACCCAGUCACGUAACUUUAUUACAGAAGGAAAUGAGGUAAGAUGGCAGCACAGUCAGGUGUUGACUGGUAGAGUUGUUAAGUCUGUUGGUAACAUCCCGUCUGCCACCCCCCUCCCCCGCCAAAAAAAAAGAAACCCAACAGAAACUAGGGAGAGAAGCAUUUACAUGAUUUGUAGAUACUGGUGAAACAUGUUGAAGGCUGUAGUUAAGAAAUCUGAAGAGUUCUUCUGAUGGUUCUAAGGGAUAUAAAUUUGAGGAUUAUCGAGUAGUAUUUGUGAUUUUUAUCCAGCAAAGAGACCUUGUAGAAGAUAUUAGCUGCAUGAGUGCUUGAAGUUCUACCCUUUGAGCCAAUAGAAAUAAAACUGGUUCUGGGGCUUCCCUGGUGGCACAGUGGUUGGGGGUCCGCCUGCCGAUGCGGGGGACGCGGGUUCGUGCCCCGGUCCUGGAGGAUCCCGUGUGCUGCGGAGCAACUGGGUCCGUGGGCCAUGGCCGCUGAGCCUGUGCAUCUGGAGCCUGUGCUCUGCAUCGGGAGAGGCCACAGCAGUGAGAGGCCCGCGUGCCGC